rnacentral:rRNA from 1 species
GACGAACGCUGGCGGCGUGCCUAAUACAUGCAAGUAGAACGCUGAAGCGAGGAGCUUGCUCUUCUUGGAUGAGUUGCGAACGGGUGAGUAACGCGUAGGUAACCUGCCUUGUAGCGGGGGAUAACUAUUGGAAACGAUAGCUAAUACCGCAUAACAAUGGAUGACACAUGUCAUUUAUUUGAAAGGGGCAAUUGCUCCACUACAAGAUGGACCUGCGUUGUAUUAGCUAGUAGGUGAGGUAAUGGCUCACCUAGGCGACGAUACAUAGCCGACCUGAGAGGGUGAUCGGCCACACUGGGACUGAGACACGGCCCAGACUCCUACGGGAGGCAGCAGUAGGGAAUCUUCGGCAAUGGGGGCAACCCUGACCGAGCAACGCCGCGUGAGUGAAGAAGGUUUUCGGAUCGUAAAGCUCUGUUGUAAGUCAAGAACGGGUGUGAGAGUGGAAAGUUCACACUGUGACGGUAGCUUACCAGAAAGAGACGGCUAACUACGUG